rnacentral:rRNA from 1 species
CGGGGUGAGUAAUGUAUGGGGAUCUGCCUGAUGGCGGGGGAUAACUACUGGAAACGGUAGCUAAUACCGCAUAACGUCGCAAGACCAAAGAGGGGGACCUUCGGGCCUCUUGCCAUCGGAUGUGCCCAGAUGGGAUUAGCUAGUAGGUGGGGUAACGGCUCACCUAGGCGAUGAUCCCUAGCUGGUCUGAGAGGAUGACCAGCCACACUGGAACUGAGACACGGUCCAG